GGAGCCCCGGUUGUGCUUAGUUGUCCUUAGCCUGAGUGCGAAGUCCAGGAAGAGAACCCGUGUGAGCUGCUGAGCUUGGCGCGCUACAGGAGAGGGCCGUCCACCUGCUUCGACUACAACGUCCAGUGCCUUGAUGCACGUCACCAGCUGGUGUAACAUUUACAGUGCCGCACUCCUCAGUCCCCCAG
rnacentral:lncRNA from 1 species